rnacentral:lncRNA from 1 species
CGACAUUGUCUCCAAAAUACUUGAACCAUUGUCCCCGACAUAACUUAAACGGCUACUCCAUAAAUUCUUGAAACAAAUAAUAAGGAACAUAAGGAACAUUAAUCACAACUUCAAAAAAACACUAAACAUCCUUUUUACAGAACAACGCAAACUACAUUCAAAAAACAAAGUAAACUACAUUUACAGAACAAUUAAAAAUAGAAUUACAGAACAAUCAAUACUAGAAUUACAGGAACAUGUCAAAUAAAUUCAUAGAAGAACAACAAUAUUGGUGGAACGCGGCCACAUCCACGACCACGGCCACUGCCCUGACCUUUGUUCGGGUGAUCACCUUUUCCACGCCUACCUCUGGUCUGAUCCAUUUCACUUCCUUCUAAAUAAACAUAAUUAGUAAUGGAGGAACAAAGCAUUAUUUCAGAGACGACUAUUACGUUUUCAGGAACAAUAGAAAAAAUCUAGUAGAAUUACAAAAUAAACAUUCAAUAAAAUUUACAAUAAAAAUCUUUCAAAAUGAAAAUAUUGAUUACAAAUCCAAAAUUUUACUGGGCGAACAAUGAACAACCAAAAUAAAUUUAAACAACACAAACGAUGUCUGAAUAAAAUAACGGUAAGACAAACAAUUUUGGAAAAAUGUUUUGAAGAUACUCAAACAAACGAUGACUAGAGAAUGAGAAAAGUAAAAACUAGUCGGUUGGGUGGGCAAUUCAAAAUGAAUACGAGAACAUAAAAUCAAAGUAGAACGUUGAAGAUGGGAAAAAUCUGUCCAACGAAGGCAAAAAUUUAUUCACAGUUGGGAAGGGAAAACUAUAUGCAAUAGCUGGAAAAAUAUAGCAGGCAGACUGAGAUGAAUGACCUUUUCGUAUGAUUUAAAGAACGAGACAGAGACAACGGAGGAUGACAACAACGUCGACAAGAACAUAUGUGCGGAGACGACAGGUCGUAAGCGUGCGUACAACGAUGCGGAGAACCGGAGAGGAGAAGUCGCGAUGAUCAGGAGAAUAGCAGAUGAUCAGCGGUUACAGUGAGAGAUUAAUCGACACAGUCGGGGAAGGGUUUCGCGAGUAGGAGAAGAAUGGAAAAUGAAAGAGAGUUUCGGUGGAAAAAAACGAGAACUGAAUAGUGUUUUAAAAAGACAUGGAUUGGCAGUUGUCAAC